rnacentral:rRNA from 1 species
GAGUUUGAUCGUGGCUCAGAUUGAACGCUGGCGGCAGGCCUAACACAUGCAAGUCGAGCGGAUGACGGGAGCUUGCUCCUUGAUUCAGCGGCGGACGGGUGAGUAAUGCCUAGGAAUCUGCCUGGUAGUGGGGGACAACGUUUCGAAAGGAACGCUAAUACCGCAUACGUCCUACGGGAGAAAGCAGGGGACCUUCGGGCCUUGCGCUAUCAGAUGAGCCUAGGUCGG